rnacentral:rRNA from 1 species
GAUGAACGCUAGCGGCAGGCUUAAUACAUGCAAGUCGAGGGGCAGCGCAGUGUAGCAAUACAUGGGCGGCGACCGGCAAACGGGUGCGGAACACGUACAGAACCUUCCUUUAAGCGGGGGAUAGCCCAGAGAAAUUUGGAUUAAUACCCCAUAGUAUUGUUGAGUGGCAUCACUUGAUGAUUAAAGAUUUAUCACUUAAAGAUGGCUGUGCGGCUGAUUAGGUAGUUGGCGGGGUAAUGGCCCACCAAGCCUUCGAUCAGUAACUGGUGUGAGAGCACGACCAGUCACACGGGCACUGAGACACGGGCCCGACUCCUACGGGAGGCAGCAGUAAGGAAUAUUGGGCAAUGGACGCAAGUCUGACCCAGCCAUGCCGCGUGGAGGAUGAAGGUCCUCUGGAUUGUAAACUUCUUUUAUUUGGGAAGAAACCCGGAUUUUCUAAUUCGGUUGACGGUACCAGAUGAAUAAGCACCGGCUAACUCCGUGCCAGCCGCCGCGGUAAAAC